rnacentral:rRNA from 1 species
AUUGAACGCUGGCGGCAGGCCUAACACAUGCAAGUAGAGCGAGCGGCGGACGGGUGAGUAAUGUAUGGGGAUCUGUCUGAUGGAGGGGGCUAACUAAUGGAAACGGUAGCUAACACCGCAUACCAUCAGAUGAACCCAUAUGGGAUUAGCUUGUAUGUGAGGUAACGGCUCACCUAGGCGACGAUCCCUAGCUGGUCUGUGAGGAUGAUAAGCCAGGCGUUGACUGUGACACGGCCCAGUCGGCUACAGGCGGCAGCGUGGUUGAAUAUUGCACAAUUGGCGCAAGCCUAAUGCAGCCAUGCCUCGUGUAUGAAGAAGGCCUUCGAGUUGUAAAGUACUUUCAGUCGGGAGGCGUUACCGACAGAAGAGGCACCGGCUAACUCCGUGCCAGCAGCCGCGGUAAUAC